rnacentral:lncRNA from 1 species
GGUGUCACAUGCCCGUGUGGCUCGCGUCCAGCUUGUGUUUAUCGCUAAAUGAGAAAUCAACACACGGCCUGAGGACAUGCCCGUGUGUCUAAGCCGUGCGGUCAUAUGGUUGUAUCGUACGACCGUGCGUGAUGUGGUUCGCUUCUCCAAUGCCUAUGUAAAUAUGCGCACGCCCGUGUUCUUUUGACAGUCUCGACCACCGAUGGUGGGCACGAGCGUGUCGAACGCCUAUGUUCAUUUGGCAGAAUUGCCCAUGGCCA